CCCGGAUGAAAGCCAGGCGCAUACUGACACCGGUGCGGACGAGGUAGAGGACUUUUAUUAGCGGGGUUGGACAAAGGGCAGUCGUAUCUACGGAACCGUGAACCUCCGAGGAGCAGGUGUUCAACAACACCGGGCUGCCCAGCAGCAGCAGCAGGAGCACCAGCAGCCCGCCCCCCACCUCCCGUUUUAUCUCGAUCAUAAUCAGACUUCUGCCGGAGUAACAUGCCGGGCUCUUCGACUAGAAUCGUUGCAAAGAAAGUCGGAAAGUUAGUCUGGCUUUGAUUACGUUCGAUCCCACGAAUUUUCGUCAAUACCCAACGCCGGAUAAUGAGACGUUAAGUCGACAUCCGAACGAUUGGGAUCUUCUGGCGUUUUCAUUAAAAAUUGCAAGUUUUUUGCGGGCAUAGUUGAUCCUUGUAACAAUUAUACUAAUAAUUGUUCUGUUUGGUUUUUUUUUACAGUGCCAUUCCAGGCGGCUGAUGUUCCUGUAUCUGCUGCAUGACUAGCAAUCCCCGUGUUUCGAUUUUGGCUCGUUGGCUUUUACCAAAGAGGCUUGUACAAUACAUUAUGUUAAAUAUGGAGGAGGAAGGGCGCGCGCGCGCCACGCGACAAACGGCCCCUCCAGAAUUCAAAAGGUACCACCACCAUACCUGUACUCGAGCAGAAACGAGAAACUCGUCCCCGGCGGGCUUUGGCGUCUAAUUUUUCUCCUCCCUUCCUCCUGCCGGACGCCCGGGACAUAGUUAUGCUCGCCACCCGACCGAAAACCGCAGGCUGCAACCGUAAAGUUGUGGGACCAAAUGAAGCCCGCUGGCCGGCACACGAGUCAAGAUCAUCUUGACUCAAACUGGUGCGGGCCGAAGGGAUCAGAUAAAUAAUUACGGGAUGGACUAACCAGACGGCAGACGCCCCAUCGGCCAUCAACAAAGUUAAGCCAGUGAGGGGGAAGAAAUCUUUUCAUCUGUUGUACCGCAGCAGCUGAUACUUUCAGCCUGUUCUCAACUAUGAAGGAAAAAAGAAGAGCAGAAAAUAAAAAUAAAGAAUGAAAAGCAAAAAAGGAGAAUGUUUUCCUCACCGGGAAGAUAUAAAAAAAUCUUUUUUUUACCCCUCGUCGAUCAGGAAUUCAGUCACCGCAGCGUUCCACCUGCGCCGACCAGAAGAGAUUGACUCUUCAGUUUCGUACCCUUCCUCUUGAAAAUUGUUCCUCAAACCCUCGUUACGCCGAUUCUGCCACAGCGGUUGAUAAAAAUCAGCUGCAGUGAAAUACGUCGAUUUUUAUUUAUCGUCGAUAAAUUUAAUCGUUCGUUAAAUUCAGGCCUGAAAUUUUCAAAAGAUGGACAUUAUUGCACCCCCAAGUUCAUACAAUGCGCGUUAUUCGCUCCUUUGUAAAUUGAAAUUUAUGGAAUUCCAUAUCGCCUGUGGCUAUUUGUGCCAUCGUUGGUGUUCUAAAGGCUGGCUCGACCGAGCAAGCCAUUGCAUGCUCCUUGCCCUUGAUGCUUUCAUUGUUUGUUCGCCAUUCAAUACCAGUAAUGGGCAGGUAUACUAUUGUGCAUCCCGGAAAGAGGAAAUAACUGCCCACGGGAAGGGAAACCGAUUCGGAAGGGGGAGGCAGAUGCAAUGCAUGGCUUGUGCCUAUCGGAUAGAAGAAUCUUUGUAACUAUAAAAAAAACAAAAACAUGUAUUAAUUAUUUGAUGCAGUAAUCUUUGUAACUAUAUUAAUGAUUUAUUUUUAAACAAUAUUAUUCAUACUUUUGUUGUGUUUUUCGUUUGUUUUGUUUUCUACAAUUCAGUGUAUAUUUGUGUAUGAAUAAAAUAUAAUUUUAAUUUA